rnacentral:lncRNA from 1 species
GUGGUGUGUCGCAAAAAUCUUGAAGGAAGUUUUCCUCUCUCCAAAUUCCUAUUUGGAAAAUAUUUAAAUUAACACACAAUUUCAAAAAGCACAUACUCCCUCCGUUCCUUGAUAUAAGGUGUAUAGAUUUUUGAGAAAAAAUCCAAAAUAUAAGGUGUAGUGCGUUGCAUCACUCGUGUGGAUAUUUGUUUUAGGAAUUUUAUUACAUUUCCUUAUAUGAGGCAAGCUCCUCUAUUUUCUGAUGUCAAUUAGUUAGGUGUAAUCUCACCCAAAACUUCUGAAAUUUCCCCUCCACAUGCGUUCUUUAAUUUCCGUGCGAAAAACUAUACACCCUAUAUUUAGGAACGGAGGGAGUAAAAGUUGUUUUAAAAUUUCUUAAAUAAAUCUUAAAAUAAGCUAGAUGAAAUUUUAAAGAGGUAGGAAAAGAAUCAGUUCAUUUGGAGUUGUGGUUAAAAAGUUAUGAGCAGUCAAACUUUUGGUCAAACUCUGUUUUUAAAACAAAACAAAAGGAAAACGUUUCGCACUGAAUAUGCCUUCUAGAAGAGAUAGCGUAUUUACUAGAACGCUUCCGCUUUCGGCAAAUAGGAAACAUACCCGAGGCGUGGAAUGCUUUCACACGGCAAAAGCGUACUCCCUCCAGUAUGCAUCCUCGAGUAGAAAACGCACCUCGCGUGGUGUGCCAACAACGAGGGAGGUCGGCUCACCGACAGCUGGGGCCACCCUGUCGGAUUCGUCUCCCUCCUCUGCGCGUGUGAUGACAGAGAGCCGAGGCGAAUUCCGGCGCCGAUCGCCGGCGACUCAGGACACCACAUGACGCAUUAUGGCUAUGCAUACGCUCGGGGGAAUGCGCCGCAUCCAUUUUUGGAGGCUAGGGGCGCGGCGGAGCUCGAGGCUUGGCGGUGCUUCAUAAAUGGAGGAAUAGGCUUCAGCCAUGAAAGGGGCUUGCAUACCCCGGCGCCCGCAUGAGAUGGGGGAAGGGAACGGUCUUACGGGGACAUGAUGGGCUAUCGGUGAAGAAAGAGGGGGAGGGGAGGCUCUGGUUGCGUCGAAUUCGAGGAUGGGGCUACGGCGGGCGUCACGGCGACAAGCGAGGGGACAUGGCUGCUUUGGUUGAACUGCUCCUCGGGGAGCCUUACUGCGGGUCAAGGGAGGGAGGUGGAGCACUUAAAUGUUACGGAGGAGGCUAUUUAUAGACGACCAGAGGGUUCUCCAUGAUGGCAUGAGGAUAGGAUCACCGGCGACAUUGUUGACGACGGCACACGGGCGGUAUGGGCAGGGUGGGCAACGAGCGACUGAUGCAAAGGAGGGGCCAAGGGACAGCUGGCGCUUGGGGAGCGCUCGGGCGUGUUGGUCGUGGAAGAUCCGAAGUGGGGCGCCGGUCGCAGCGGCUUUGCCGGUGACGGCAGUGCUCGGUUACAGCAGGGUGGC